UACAGAGGGUGCAAGCGUUGUUCGGAAUUAUUGGGCGUAAAGGGCGCGUAGGCGGUGCUGUAAGUCUGUAGUGAAAUCUCUGGGCUCAACUCAGAGUCUGCUAUAGAAACUGCAGUGCUGGAGUGUGGGAGAGGUGAGUGGAAUUCCCGGUGUAGCGGUGAAAUGCGUAGAUAUCGGGAGGAACAUCUGUGGCGAAAGCGGCUCACUGGACCACAACUGACGCUGAGGCGCGAAAGCUAGGGGAGCAAACAGG
rnacentral:rRNA from 1 species